rnacentral:piRNA from 1 species
UGGUCAGCCAGAAACAGCAACUGUCAA